GGGGGUAUAGCUCAACUGGUAGAGCGGCGGUCUCCAAAACCAAGGUGGGUGUUCGAUUCGCCCUGCCCCUGCCA
rnacentral:tRNA from 1 species